UCUCUUAAUUGUUUUCUGCAGGUCACAUAUAACACCAUACUGGCCUGGUCUGUUACGAAUACUUUCAUUGGGACAGUCCAGCACAAAACAACAAACGAAAACACACCUGCACUGACUUAUCAAAAGUGGGAGAGGGCAAUGGUAAUCCUGGCACACAGGAAGAACCAUGAUGUCAAAAUAAACAAGUUUUUUUCUUGCCAGCACAAAUCCCAAGUAAUGAAGUACAAAAUGGCCCAUUGUAAAAGAAAUCCAUUUUCGGACCAAAUUACAAUGCCCCCAGGCAUCAAAAAGACAAGGGUGGUGGGUGGAGAAAAAAAAGAAAUAAAACUCCCCUCGUCCCAGAGAACAUCACAAAAGCACUUUCCCGUUCUCUGGCUCGGGUCUUCAAGGAUUGCCUGUGAGGCCCGGGCGAAAAAACUAAGGCCAGUAAUUGGUGUUCGCGCAAAAAGCCUCGCCAUCGUCAUUUUGUAUUCUGCCCUCGUCCUCGAAAUUCUUCCGUUCCUAAAAACUCAAUUUCAGAGAAAUGGACUUUUCCAGAUGGAGUAA
rnacentral:lncRNA from 1 species